CCAUCAGGUCUCUGCAUCACUCACCCAGGAUCUCGACUGAGGAGUGGUGAUGUUGCGGUGGGCAGCGGCCACACUCUCUCCAGGACUAGAUCGGCGGCUCAUGUGCGAGUGAACGAGGUCGACCCAGUGUGUGUGGCUGACCCGCCCGGUGCAACUCAGAAGGGAUUCCUUAGGUUGAGGAACUGCGGACUGGCUGAGGUCUGCGACCAUGAAGGUCAAAGUCAUCCCGGUACUUGAAGACAACUACAUGUACCUGAUCAUUGAGGAACACACACGGGAGGCCGUGGCUGUAGACGUGGCUGUGCCCAAGAGGGUGAGGGCCGACAAAGGAUGCCAUCAGGGGACUCCCGGAGCAGACCCUACCCCCUAAUUUUUCAAAUAAUUUGAUGUAUUAUCUUUGGAUUCCCAUGGAGUAUGGCUACCUUUGGUGUUUGUAGUCCCCCAGUAAUUGUAAUUGUCGGUCCAUUAUCUCCCCUAACUCUUGCUGUCCUGGGUCCCUGUGGAAUUAAGCACCUGAACCGAGUGCGCCAGUAUGGGGUGGGUGGCCCACCUGGCCGUCACUUCAUCCUUACCAGCUGCUGGAGAUUGCUGGCCGCGAGGGAGUGUCUCUGACCACGGUGCUGUCCACCCAUCAUCACUGGGACCAUACACGUGGAAAUGCGGAGCUGGCGCGCCUGCAGCCAGGACUGGCUAUCAUGGGAGCAGAUGAGCGGAUCUGCGCGCUAACCCGCAGGCUGGAACACGGAGAGGAACUUCAGGUGAGCAUGUAUCCAGAAGGGGUGGGGAGGGUCCUGGCCCCGGCCUGCCCACUGGCCCUCACGGGUCCAAUGCCUCACCAUCGCAGUUUGGGGCCAUCCACGUGCGAUGCCUCUUGACGCCGGGCCACACCUCUGGCCACAUGAGCUACUUCCUGUGGGAGGAUGAAUGCCCGGACCCACCAGCCCUCUUCUCUGGUACCUUGCAGCCUGGACUCACCUACCAACCCAAUUCCACUGUGUCCUCCCGACCCCCUUCUGACCCUCUUUGCUCCCUAGGAGAUGCUCUGUCAGUGGCAGGCUGUGGCUGGCACCUGGAGGACACUGCCCAGCAGAUGUACCAGAGCUUGGCCAAGACUCUGGGUACCCUUCCACCCCAGACGAAGGUGUUCUGUGGUCAUGAGCAUACGCUGAGCAAUCUUGAGUUUGCACAGAAAGUGGAGCCCUGCAACAGCCACGUGCAAGCUAAGCUGUCCUGGGCCCAGAAGAGGGAUGAUGAUGAUGUACCUACUGUGCCUUCAACGCUGGGCGAGGAGCUCAUGUACAACCCUUUCCUAAGGGUGACGUAAGUAUGGCUGUGUCCUAGGCCUUCCUGUGGUGGCCCUGAGCCGUAUCAGCGGGUAGGGCAACCUCAAGAGGCUGUCUGCACUGCCAGUUAGUCUCCCCAUGGAGCAGUCUCAGGACAGCCUGGCAUCCUUAGGGCCUCUUUGGCAGUCAUUUGAGUAGUUAGGAGGGUAUCUAGGGACUAUUUAUUGAGCUGAAUGUCCCUGGCACCAGAGAAGGGCAUUUGUUAAGGGCCCUCCUUCCAUCCACUGCCCUGCUGGGCCCCGCCCCCAUGGGCAGCUGGCCAGCCCCACAAUUCCCCAGCAUACUCUUCCCUGCAGAGAGGAUCCAGUCCGUGCGUUCACAGGCCAGGUGGCACCAGCCCAGGUCCUGGAGGUGCUCUGCAGGGAGCGAGCACGCUUCCAGCUUGCUUCGGAGCCUCCACAGCCCCAGGUCCGGGCACUCCUGGCCUUACAAUGGGGGCUUCUGAGCACAGGCCAGGAAAAGUGAACUGUGUGGGGAGCCUGCUUGUCUCCACACUCCUCUGAACCUCAGGCCGACUGGAACCCUGCCACCCUGACUGCUUAUGGAGCCAUACAAGUGUGGUCUGUAGGAGCUCUUGUGGGUCCAGAGACAUACAUCCUGGGGACUGAGGAGGGUAAAUAAAACUUUGAAAGGCGCAGUGUGGUACCACAGACACACAGCAGAUACUCAGAGG
rnacentral:lncRNA from 1 species